rnacentral:rRNA from 1 species
CUAGCCUAAACGAGCAAAACGAAUUUUAGUUUGAACCCCCGAAACUAAGCGAGCUACUUCGAAAUGUUUCAAGAACAAGCCCGUCUCUGUCGCAAUAGAGUGGGACAAUUUCCAAGUAGCGGCGACAAACCUACCGCGCUUAAAGAUAGCUGGUUAUUCAAGAACAGAAUAUAAGUUCUACCUUAAGCUUUGUUAUUACAAAAGAAAACCUUAAAACUUAAGAGCUAUUCAAAUAAGGCACAGCUUAUUUGAAACAGGACACAACCUCUAAAAUCGGGUAAAAUCUUAAAGCAAAUAACAAGUGGGCCUAAAAGCAGCCAUCUACCAAAAAGCGUCAAAGCUUAAUUUUUGUUUACCUCAAUCCCCUAACACACCUUCAACCCACUACCUGUACUGAAUAACUCCAUACGUCUAUGGAAACUAUAAUGCUAGAACUAGUAACAAGAAAACCUUCUCCAAAAUGUAAGUCUAAGCCACAAUAGACAAACUACCGGCAAUUAACGUAAAUGAUACCUAUAUAGUACCUCAACAAGAAUACCCUAUAAACUCUAACGUCAACCUUACACUAGCACAUUAACGGAAAGAUUAAAAGAAAAAGAAGGAACUCGGCAAAACUUAACCCCGCCUGUUUAC